CUGAAGGCCUAAUAACCGAUCAAGAACGAAAAGGGGAAUCUGAUUUUCAAGCAUAAUCAUAUCGCGCUGAAUUGAAUGCAUUGAUCCACGCAUAGCAAACACAGGGUCAUUUCGAGAGUACCCAAUCUGCUGGAAUCCCUCUGAAGCGCCACGAAACAGGUCAAGAAUGAAGCAUCCAUCAAGCACCAUCAUUUCCACAAACUCAUUGCUACUAAGAUUAAUCUUCCCUUCAUAACAAGCCCGAGUCCUCUCUUCAAGUUCCUUCAUAGAAUCCAAAUACAGUUUUAAAUCCUGAUUAGUACGCUUCAAGAUCUGGUAAAAAGACCGCCACUUGUGGCGGUCCAUGUUUCUAUGACGCUUCUUGCCAUGAUGAUAAGGCCCUAAUGACACAAUUUGAGGAAUAUAAGCCUUAUUAUCACCUCCUUUCAAGUACUGAGGGACUCUGUAGAUGGACACUCUGCCCCAAGAACCAGCCAAGUCUUCUUGCCGAGCUUGUUCAAGCUUUGCAUUGAUAUUGAUCACCCAUUCAGAGAUCGCUGGUCUAGGCCCUGAUCCGAAAGCAUCAAUUUCGCGUAUAGAGGAGGACUCUUCAUGAUGUUCCAGGAGGUAUGUUUGUUCUGAUCGAU
rnacentral:lncRNA from 1 species